rnacentral:rRNA from 1 species
UACGUAGGGAGCAAGCGUUGUCCGGAAUCAUUGGGCGUAAAGCGCGCGUAGGCGGCCCUGUAAGUCCGUUGUGAAAGUCAAAGGCUCAACCUUUGAAAGCCGAUGGAUACUGCAGGGCUAGAGUCCGGAAGAGGCGAGUGGAAUUCCUGGUGUAGCGGUGGAAUGCGCAGAUAUCAGGAGGAACACCAAUAGCGAAGGCAGCUCGCUGGGACGGUACUGACGCUAAGGCGCGAAAGCGUGGGGAGCGGACAGG